GUAGGUGGCAAGCGUUGUCCGGAAUUAUUUGGCGUAAAGCGCGCGCAGGCGGUCCUUUAAGUCUGAUGUGAAAGCCCACGGCUCAACCGUGGAGGGUCAUUGGAAACUGGGGGACUUGAGUACAGAAGAGGAAAGCGGAAUUCCAAGUGUAGCGGUGAAAUGCGUAGAGAUUUGGAGGAACACCAGUGGCGAAGGCGGCUUUCUGGUCUGUAACUGACGCUGAGGCGCGAAAGCGUGGGGAGCAAACAGGAUUAGAUACCCUGGUAGUCCACGCCGUAAACGAUGAGUGCUAAGUGUUAGGGGGUUUCCCGCCCCCUUAGUGCUGCAGCUAACGCAUUAAGCACUCCGCCUGGGGAGUACGGCCGCAAGGCUG
rnacentral:rRNA from 1 species